AGCGAACGCUGGCGGCAGGCUUAACACAUGCAAGUCGAGCGGGCGUAGCAAUACGUCAGCGGCAGACGGGUGAGUAACGCGUGGGAACGUACCUUUUGGUUCGGAACAACACAGGGAAACUUGUGCUAAUACCGGAUAAGCCCUUACGGGGAAAGAUUUAUCGCCGAAAGAUCGGCCCGCGUCUGAUUAGCUAGUUGGUGAGGUAAUGGCUCACCAAGGCGACGAUCAGUAGCUGGUCUGAGAGGAUGAUCAGCCACAUUGGGACUGAGACACGGCCCAAACUCCUACGGGAGGCAGCAGUGGGGGAUAUUGGACAAUGGGCGCAAGCCUGAUCCAGCCAUGCCGCGUGAGUGAUGAAGGCCCUAGGGUUGUAAAGCUCUUUUGUGCGGGAAGAUAAUGACGGUACCGCAAGAAUAAGCCCCGGCUAACUUCGUGCCAGCAGCCGCCGUAAGAC
rnacentral:rRNA from 1 species